GACUUGUAUCUUGCAAAGGGUAUAUAUGGAUAUACACAACAAGAGAAAGAUGUCUCUUCCGGUCUAUCACCACCCGCUGAGAGUUGUCCUCCUCCUCGAGCGCUGCUAGACUCUCGGCUCUUUUCUCAUUUGAAAAAGAAAAAAGAAAAGAAAAAGUUUGACUUCUAAAUCGCGCAUAAUCAAAAGAGAUUCCGGCAAUGGCAGCAGCUAGCGGCGGAGAAGAAGAAGAAGAUGGCAUGGAGCUGGAUUGUUACAAGAGAGGAGGUCGAAACAGCUCUCUCGGCUGGCAACGAGAAAGAGAGAGGGGGGGGGGGGGGAGGGGAGGGAGGUAGGAGGGAGACAACUAAGCGGAAGAUUCGUAUAGGCUAUAAAUUUUACUGCUCUUCCCAUUCUAACCUCCCUUGACUCUCGGCUGUAGCUCGUCCUUGUUAGUUGGAAUUUUCAACGCUAUGGAAACCUAGAGCCUAUACACUGCCAAGGGAGGGGGAAAAAAGGAGGUGGGGAGGCCAGACAUGUAGAGAAAAGCAAGAAGAAGAAAAAUAAUAAUAAAAUAAAAAAAAACCUUGGGUUACGUUCUACACUAUACGCUCUCUCUCUCUCGAUUGCCUCGUCGAUGGUCGUCGCCGCCGCUGUUCGCUAUUAUACACCGCCGUUGCCGCUUCUUCUUCUUCUUCUUCUCUCUGCUCUGCUCUCUCUCGGUGCUUCACAGUUGGUAUAGAGUCGCUGCGUGCGCUGCUGCUGCUGCUGCUGCUCAACGCGCACAAGAGUUUUUCUAACCGGGGGAAAAAAAGAGGGAGGGAGGUUUGUGUUACAGAGACCGACCGAUCGGUGAGACGUGUUUUCCCUCUCCAAGUUUUUCUUUCUUUCUUUUCUUCCUUAUUAUUUUUCUUUUUUUUUUUUCUUUCUUUCUUCUUUUUCCCCUUCGUUCGUUAUUUUUUUUUCUUAUUCCCGGACCGGCGUUCGCGUCUGCCGUCCACUCAACGUGAUUUCCCAUUCCACGUCAAACCACUCGCCGUCCCGCACGCUGACGCAGAGGUUGCUCAUCGCAAGGCUGGUUCUUGCUACUCUCUUCUCUCUGCCGACUUCCAUCUUUUUUGGCGUUCGUUAACUUUUGGCUGGCAAGUAAAAUCGUCGACCAAAGAUGGACUCGACAACACUGCAGCAACAGAGGAGAAGAAGAAGAAACCAAACAGCUACUUGAAUUUGAUGCCGGCUCAUCAUUUGUCAAUGUCGUCGCCGUGUGGCUGGGCGACAAAGAAAAUUCAAACCCCUUCAGCGCAGCGUCCCUCACGAUAAUAGAGGUUUCCUAUGGUCGGCCCAUGUUUUCCAUUUUAUGACUGUGUCCUCCUGCACAUCGGCUACUUCUACCACGGGUGGACCCGAAAGCAAAGAGACAAAACAGGGACCCAAAUUGGGGUUCUAUAAACACACACACAUGUCCCCGAAGAAGAAGAAGAAAGGAAAAAUUUGCCAAAAUUGGUGACACACGUGCUGCUGCUGGGCUACAUCUAGUUUUCGCUGCUGCGGGACAUUGGGUCCAGCACACGCCCUUCAUCAACAAUCAAUGUCUCUCCUUCGUCCCAACUGGAAAAAUAACCUGUCCGUCUCCGGAAUCAUUUUGGGCAAACGGGUUUCUCUCUACACAAGUUACUCGGCGCAGGUGUCUAGACUUUCUCUCAACAAUUCCUUCAAUUGCUUCCAUCGACGUCAUUCAGUCUCAACUCUUUUUUUGGGGGGGGGGGAUUGUUUACAAACAUCCGCCCUUAACGAGGAUGAGGACAAUUUGACCUAGUCGCCUGACUCUCGUGUGAUGGCAAACGCCUUCGAUCCGCGAGUCUGCCAGCACAGACCCAUAAACAUGGAGAACGAAAAAGGAAAAAAAAAUGAGCUCUGAUUUCGUUUUCAGUUUUGGAUUUUUAGAGCGUCAUGUUAACGGUGGCUGCUGCCUGGACAAUUUUGUCGAAAACCGGCUCCUGAAGUUCAAAAGUCUCCUACAGCUAAAGCUACCGUACAACUAAAUAUUCAACCAUUCACCGCCGCUUCAGCUCCCAGAAAAGAAAAAGAAAAACUCGAACGAAAACAAGAUUCCAUUCUCGUUCCGAUUGGAAUAAUCGAUUCGGCAAAGCAGAUAAGACUACAACAUUGUCUUCUCGACAAGCCAUCGGAAUUCAGAGCUUGUCGAACGAAACGCCACGCCACACACACAAAAAAAAACAUUUCUUUCAUCCAAUCGACGAUUUCCAAUUCCGUAGUCGACUUCGAUAUCGCCCAGCAAACGGGUGGAAAAAAAUGUUUCAAUUUUGAAAGGCUGCUGCUACUGCUACGAUGACCUUAUUCCUUUGUUCUAAAUUUGCGCUCGACUUUUACACACACACAUGUACGUGUUCUGCCCUCGUGUGUAUGUGCUGUCGCAGCUCCUUUUUUUUUAUUAUUUUCUCUAUCGGGUUUGCUGGCUGCGUUUGAUGUGGACGAGAUAAAUGGAACGCCCUCCCCAGCACCAUUACCGUUGAUGAAUGGAUUCCCCUACUGCUUGCUACCCCACAAAACCUCCCAGAUAUAGACGCGUGCAUCCGGAAGGAGGAUGCCCAAGACAUGCACCGUUGAGGAGCCAAAAAAGAAAACGCAACAUUUCUAACUCAAUCGAAUUUAAAGUGAAUAAAGAUUUUAAAAAAGGAAGAAUCUCGGGAAAACGGAAGGUAAAAUAAAUAAAGGAAAAACCAAAAGGUACAAUAUCUCUUUAAAACAAAAAAUAACCUUCACGUCAGACUUGUAAAUGUUUUCGCAAAUGGAUAUUGACAUCUGAUUUGUUUCCAUUUCUCGUUUUUUAUUUAGGUAUCCGUCUAGACGCGAUGCAUCACGUUUCCGGUCUGAUUUGACGCAACUGGGAAUCGAUCGACCAUAUGAAAAUUUAAAUUGAACGAAAAAUUGUCUGAGCGAAUACUGAUAAGAGAUUUGAGAUCAUCAUCACAGCGUGACAGUUCAUCAUGCUCUACAUCUACCCUGUAGAUCCGAAUUUGUAGUUGCAUCACAAGACAAAUUCGGUUCUAGAGAGGUUCGUGUGGGGCAUAAACAGCUACAUGCUAAAACUACGUUUUUCUCAUCUCGCAAAUGCACCACCAUCACUUUUAAAACACUUAUGCAAUUAAAUUUAAGAAAGAAUAUUUCGAAUUUUUAAACGAAUAUUUCAUACAACCGUUUUCUCAUGUUGACAGAUAACGCUUUCCAACAAAUAAACUUGACUUUUGCAAUUUC